rnacentral:rRNA from 1 species
UACGUAGGGCGCAAGCGUUAUCCGGAAUUAUUGGGCGUAAAGAGCUCGUAGGCGGUUUGUCGCGUCUGCCGUGAAAGUCCGGGGCUCAACUCCGGAUCUGCGGUGGGUACGGGCAGACUAGAGUGAUGUAGGGGAGACUGGAAUUCCUGGUGUAGCGGUGAAAUGCGCAGAUAUCAGGAGGAACACCGAUGGCGAAGGCAGGUCUCUGGGCAUUACCUGACGCUGAGGAGCGAAAGCAUGGGGAGCGAACAGG